GGAGGGGUGGCAGAGUGGUCUAAUGCACUUGUCUUGAAAACAAGAGUGCUGCAAGGCACCGUGAGUUCGAAUCUCACCCCCUCCGCCG
rnacentral:tRNA from 1 species